rnacentral:misc_RNA from 1 species
GAAAUGCGAAAAGCAAUGCGAAUUGCAGAAUUCCGCGAGUCAUCAGAUCUUCGAACGCAUCUGGCGCCGACCGGAUAUCCGAUCGGCAUGUUUGUUUCAGUGUCGUGUUCAGACUCACAUAACUCAAUGUGAUUGAUAUCGCACUUCAGAGUAACCCUCUGAUGUUGCUGUUAUCUCUCAUGAAGUUAGGACUGCGGCAACCGACCGAUGCAGUAGUCAGUCUUGUGCUGAUACUCAUUGGUUAGGGAGCAUACACAGCAGUCUCAAGUCAUAAACACUCUCCACAACGCAUCUGAGACAAGCAAGAACACCCGCUGAACUUAA